CUCAGCUCUGGCCCUACUGUCUCUCCCUGCCCUGCCUUUCUCUAAGCCAGUGCGGGUCCCCUCCAUCAUUCUUCCCGGUCAGCCCUGCACCCAAGGCUCUUGCGCGUGGUAAACAUUCCAUCAAAUUCAGGAGCAGUGGAGGGUGCUUAUAGAAGCUGAAAAGGACUUCAAAUUCAAGGCUGCACACCGUGUCCCCAGGAAGUCCUCCCAGCAAUGCCACCCUCGGCCACCAAUCAGGCAAGGAGUCACUUUCCCGCAGGCUACAGCUCAAGACUUUCACAUCAGUCGGAAACUUCCGUCACAAGUGACUUACUCUGGAGGAAGCCACCUAUCAGGCCACAAGAACAUUCCGGCAGCCUUACGGAGAGGAGGAGCCGAGCCCCAUGAGGUGAGGAGCCGAGGCCUCCCACCAACAGCCAGCACCAGCUUGGCAGACAUGUCUUGGAAUCAGCGGCUCCAGCCCAGGCGAGCCUUCAGAUGGAGGCAGCCAUGGCCAACAUCCUGGCUGCAAUCUCAUGAACUCUCAAGCCAAGCCCCCCCUGCCAAGUCGUUUGUAAAUUCCUGACCCGCGGAAAGUGUAUGAGAGAAAUAUGUUUCUUAUUUUCAGCUGUUAAGAUUUGGAA